rnacentral:rRNA from 1 species
GCAGUCGGGAAUUUUGGGCAAUGGGCGAAAGCUGACCCAGCAACGCCGCGUGAAGGAUGAAGUAUUUCGGUAUGUAAACUUCGAAAGAAUGGGAAGAAAACAAUGACGGUACCAUUUAUAAGGUCCGGCUAACUACGUGCCGGCAGCCGCGGUAAUACGUAGGGACCAAGCGUUGUUCGGAUUUACUGGGCGUAAAGGGCGCGUAGGCGGCAAUUCAAGUCAUCUGUGAAAUCUCCGGGCUUAACUCGGAACGGUCAGAUGAUACUGCUUUGCUAGAGUGCAGAAGGGGCAAUCGGAAUUCUUGGUGUAGCGGUGAAAUGCGUAGAUAUCAAGAGGAACACCAGAGGUGAAGACGGGUUGCUGGGCUGACACUGACGCUGAGGCGCGAAAGCCAGGGGGAGCAAACGGGAUUAGAUACCCCGGUAGUCCUGGCCCUAAACGAUGAAUACUUGGUGUCUGGAGUUUUAAUGCUCCGGGUGCCGUCGCUAACGUUUUUAGUAUUCCGCCUGGGGAGUACGCACGCAAUUUG